CUCGGUGUACCAGAGUGGUUUAAUGGCUCAGACUGCAAAUCUGCUGAUUCGUCAGUUCGAAUCUGACCACCGAGU
rnacentral:tRNA from 1 species